rnacentral:rRNA from 1 species
UACGAAGGGGGCUAGCGUUGCUCGGAAUCACUGGGCGUAAAGCGCACGUAGGCGGCUUUCUAAGUCAGGGGUGAAAUCCUGGAGCUCAACUCCAGAACUGCCUUUGAUACUGGGAAGCUCGAGUCCGGAAGAGGUGAGUGGAACUGCGAGUGUAGAGGUGAAAUUCGUAGAUAUUCGCAAGAACACCAGUGGCGAAGGCGGCUCACUGGCCCGAUACUGACGCUGAGGUGCGAAAGCUAGGGGAGCGAACAGG